CCGUUAUUAUUCACUUGCGGGCGAGAAGUCCGAGCUAGGGAUCCUGAAAAGGAGGGAACAAUUGUUGUAGCAGGUCUAAAAGUUCAGGUCCAGGAAAUGGAAACAUUGCUUUGCUUUUCCUGAAUUGUCCAGUGACCUAUCCCAGGCCUUCCUUUCCAGUGAACAAUGGACCAUGCAGGUGGACCCUCCUCUUCACGGGCCUCCAAAUGACUUUCUCAUUUUUCAAAUCAUUCCUCUGCACUCACUUUCUAUAAUGGUAGAGAAAUGCAUAUCCUGGAGUCUAAAGUUAAAACUUUGUUUUAUUGAGAUUAAUGUUUAGGUAGAAUCACAUCAUCCAUCUUCUCCAAUCUUCUCCAAAGACCUCAGUUUUAAAAUAUGACAGGAUUAGAGAUGACC
rnacentral:lncRNA from 1 species